rnacentral:rRNA from 1 species
ACGAACGCUGGCGGCGUGCUUAACCCAUGCAAGUCGAACGGAAAGGCCCUGCUUUUGUGGGGUGCUCGAGUGGCGAACGGGUGAGUAACACGUGAGUAACCUGCCCUUGACUUUGGGAUAACUUCAGGAAACUGGGGCUAAUACCGGAUAGGAGCUCCUGCUGCAUGGUGGGGGUUGGAAAGUUUCGGCGGUUGGGGAUGGACUCGCGGCUUAUCAGCUUGUUGGUGGGGUAGUGGCUUACCAAGGCUUUGACGGGUAGCCGGCCUGAGAGGGUGACCGGCCACAUUGGGACUGAGAGACGGCCCAGACUCCUACGGGAGGCAGCAGUGGGGAAUAUUGCACAAUGGGCGGAAGCCUGAUGCAGCAACGCCGCGUGCGGGAUGACGGCCUUCGGGUUGUAAACCGCUUUCGCCUGUGACGAAGCGUGAGUGACGGUAAUGGGUAAAGAAGCACCGGCUAACUACGUG